rnacentral:rRNA from 1 species
GACGAACGCUGGCGGCGUGCUUAACACAUGCAAGUCGAACGGAAAGGCCCUGCUUUUGUGGGGUGCUCGAGUGGCGAACGGGUGAGUAACACGUGAGUAACCUGCCCUUGACUUUGGGAUAACUUCAGGAAACUGGGGCUAAUACCGGAUAGGAGCUCCUGCUGCAUGGUGGGGGUUGGAAAGUUUCGGCGGUUGGGGAUGGACUCGCGGCUUAUCAGCUUGUUGGUGGGGUAGUGGCUUACCAAGGCUUUGACGGGUAGCCGGCCUGAGAGGGUGACCGGCCACAUUGGGACUGGGAUACGGCCCCGAACUCUAAGGGGGGCAGCCGGGGGGAAAUUUGCAAAAUGGGCGGAAGCCUGAUGCAGCAACGCCGGGUGCGGGAAGAAGGCCUUCGGGGUGGAAACCGCUUUCGCCUGUGACGAAGCGUGAGUGACGGUAAUGGGUAAAGAAGCACCGGCUAACUACGUG